UGAAAACUACUCGCUUGUUUUGACUAGGUGAGUGUUCCAUAUAGGAAUACGUAAUUGAAUAAGUCUAGGACACGCUUAUUUCAUGAUUAUUAAGUGUUAAGUGCUAUGUGUUAAGUAUUUACCAUACUCAUGCUUGGAAAUGCUCGAAUAACAUGACUUGGUAUGCUAAGGUUGCAUACGUCGUUGGAGUGAAUCUCCUCGACUCUCACAUGGUAAAAAUGGGAUAACGGCCAAUGAUGGCCUAUUCAUAUGACAAAUGCCUGUCAAUUGAACGUCACUGCUUAACCGUUAACCGUUAACCGUCAACCGUUAACCGUGAACCGUUUACCAACCACAUGACUACCUGAUUACUUGACUAUUUGCUCACAUGAUUUCCAAUCUACAUGACUAUUCGAUAUCCGUGAAUUACAUGUUCCCAUGAAAUCAACUUGUAUUGCUUACGUGCUUACGUGCUAAGUAUCUACUUGAUUACUUGAUUAUCAUGAAUCACAUGUUAUAUGAAGCUGUCCAUCAUUAUUAGGCGAGUGUGUACUUUACCUCACUCGACCUACUCAAAUGAUGAAUUUUACCUUUUGUCGAAUUACUUGGUUACCUGUGCAUGUUGUAAGCUCUAAGAUGAACUUGGGCCCUGCCCUUGGUUACUGACCUACUCGAGCCAGGACUGGGCUCGGUCGGGUAGGUUGGAACCCUGGGCCACCGUUUCGGUAUACUCGAGUAUUACCACUGGAGGGAUAAGGCGAUGGCCAGACCGUACCGUGGGAAUCCGGAAGUCAUAAGGUUCAGAUGACCGACAGAGUUCCACUGGAACACCGUAUCCUACUGUAUAUGUUUACCUUGUAUCAUGAUAAUUGUUUCAUGCUAAAAUGCCAACAUGAAAUCCUGAGCGAUGCCUGUGAUAUGCUCCAUACCUGUUACCUGACCAAUGUACUCAUACCAUGAUACUUGUCUCAUGAUAAAUGUCUCAUAGCAUGAUAAAUGUCUCAAAUUACUCGUACAAUGGUUAUCACCUCAUGAUAACAUGCCAUUGUGCAACCUUGAACCAUGCAUAUGAUAUGCCCAACUUACUUGAUUUAUUUGAACUAUUAGAGUGUCUUGGAACCUCACUGGGCUGUGUAGCUCAUCCCACGCUGUGGUUUUCUUUUACAGGGUUCGAGACCAAGGGUGCUCGUGAGUAGUACUAGAUUGUUUUCUUUUGGAGACUCUAAGUUAUAUUAUAACGGAUGGCUAUUGUACCCUUUUCCGUUGGGUUGUAUUUAAGCUUGAAAGCUGCAUAAUUGUAAGUGUGAGAUAUUUGAAGUACUUUAAUUAUGUAUUGAGGUUACUUAAAGUAUUUCGAGCUUUUGAAUGAUGGAUUGUAGUGAGUCCUGGC
rnacentral:lncRNA from 1 species